GCAGACACAUUCCAGCCAAUCAGCAGCAGACCCUCCCUCCCAGACCCUCCCACCUCCUGGACAGCAUCCAUUUACAUUCAUUGAAGCUGCAUUCUUAGUGAGCUGUCCAGGAGGUGGGAGGGUCUGGGAGGGAGGGUCUGCUGCUGAUUGGCUGGAAUGUGUCUG